AACGAACGCUGGCGGCAGGCUUAACACAUGCAAGUCGAGCGCCCCGCAAGGGGAGCGGCAGACGGGUGAGUAACACGUGGGAAUCUACCCAUCCCUACGGAACAACUCCGGGAAACUGGAGCUAAUACCGUAUACGCCCUUCGGGGGAAGGGUUUAUCGGGGAUGGAUGAGCCCGCGUUGGAUUAGCUAGUUGGUGGGGUAAAGGCCUACCAAGGCGACGAUCCAUAGCUGGUCUGAGAGGAUGAUCAGCGACAUUGGGACUGAGACCCGGCCCAAACUCCUACGGGAGGCAGCAGUGGGGAAUAUUGGACAAUGGGCGCAAGCCUGAUCCAGCCAUGCCGCGUGAAUGAUGAAGGCCUUAGGGUUGUAAAGUUCUUUCACCGAUGAAGAUAAUGACGGUAGUCGGAGAAGAAGCCCCGGCUAACUUCGUGCCAGCAGCCGCCGUAA
rnacentral:rRNA from 1 species